rnacentral:lncRNA from 1 species
GGCCUAACUGGAUUUUGUUACCUUAGAGGCUAUAGGCAGCCUCUCCUCCCCUCUCACUCUCAUUUUCUCUCCCUCACACUCUUCCUACACUUCUAGAGAGAGAAAGGGAAGGAGAAGAAGGAGAAGAAGAGGAGAAGGAGCUUGCUUGGAGGCCUUGGAGCACCAUCUUCUUCCUCAUUUCUCACCUUUGGAGGCUUGGAGCUUGCUUUUGGAGCUUUGUGGUGGAUCAAUCUUCAACCCUUGAAGAUUUUGAGCUUGGUUUGGAGCAUCCUAGAGGUAAGUGGCAAGGUUCCUUCCUCUAGAUUUUAGUUUUGGAGCUUUUUGCUUGUCUAAACCCUAGAUUUUGGAUUUUAGGGUUAGAUUUGGGGAUUCUUGAUUUGAGGCUUCUUGAUCUCAUUUGAAUGGUUUGGAACCUUUAUAUAGGUUAGAUUGGAAGACCCCUACCUUCCAUUUGAAGAUUAAGAGAGAGUUUUUCACUUGAGGUGAGUUUUU